ensembl:snoRNA SNORA70 Small nucleolar RNA SNORA70
CUGUGGUUAUUUUGGAGAAUGUUUCUUAAUUUUUAAAAGUAUAAAUCUCUCCCCAUGGGGGCCCAGUGUGCAAUGGCUGCAAACAGCAGCCUCCUCGGUAGUGUAUGCAGCCUGUUACCUGCAUGGGUUGCCCCAAGGGACCUUAGAGACAGCC